ACCAACAUAGUGUAGUGGUUUGAGUGUUGGACUAUAACUCUGGAGAUCAGGGUUUGAUUCCCUUCUUGGCC